rnacentral:rRNA from 1 species
UAGAGGCCUACCAUGGUGGUAACGGGUAACGGGGUGUUAGGGCACGACACCGGAGAGGGAGCCUGAGAAACGGCUACCACAUCCAAGGAUGGCAGCAGGCGCGCAAAUUACCCAAUCCCGACACGGGGAGGUAGUGACAAUAAAUAACAAUACGGGGUUCUUUAGGAUCUCGUAAUUGGAAUGAGUACAAUUUAAAUCUCUUAACGAGGAACAAUUGGAGGGCAAGUCUGGUGCCAGCAGCCGCGGUAAUUCCAGCUCCAAUAGCGUAUAUUAAAGUUGUUGCAGUUAAAAAGCUCGUAGUUGAAUUUCGGGGUUAGUAGGUUGGUCAUGCCUCUGGUAUGUACUGGUCUCACUGAUUCCUCCUUCCUUAUGAACCGUAAUGCCAUUAAUUUGGUGUUGCGGGGAAUUUGGACUGUUACUUUGAAAAAAUUAGAGUGUUUAAAGCAAGCUAACGCUUGAAUACAUUAGCAUGGAAUAAUGAAAUAGGACGUUCGAUCCUAUUUUGUUGGUUUCUAGGAUUGACGUAAUGAUUAAUAGGGAUAGUUGGGGGCAUUAGUAUUCAAUUGUCAGAGGUGAAAUUCUUGGAUUUAUUGAAGACUAACUACUGCGAAAGCAUUUGCCAAGGAUGUUUUCAUUAAUCAAGAACGAAAGUUAGGGGAUCGAAGACGAUCAGAUACCGUCGUAGUCUUAACCAUAAACUAUGCCGACUAGGGAUCG